UACGGAGGGGGCUAGCGUUGUUCGGAAUUACUGGGCGUAAAGCGCACGUAGGCGGCUUUGUAAGUUAGAGGUGAAAGCCCAGAGCUCAACUCUGGAACUGCCUUUAAUACUGGGUAUCUCGAGUCCGGAAGAGGUGAGUGGAAUUCCGAGUGUAGAGGUGAAAUUCGUAGAUAUUCGGAGGAACACCAGUGGCGAAGGCGGCUCACUGGUCCGGUACUGACGCUGAGGUGCGAAAGCGUGGGGAGCAAACAGG
rnacentral:rRNA from 1 species